rnacentral:rRNA from 1 species
UACGUAGGGUGCGAGCGUUGUCCGGAAUUAUUGGGCGUAAAGAGCUCGUAGGCGGUGUGUCACGUCGAUCGUGAAAACUUGGGGCUUAACUCUGAGCUUGCGGUCGAUACGGGCAUCACUGGAGUUCGGCAGGGGAGACUGGAAUUCCUGGUGUAGCGGUGAAAUGCGCAGAUAUCAGGAGGAACACCGGUGGCGAAGGCGGGUCUCUGGGCAGUAACUGACGCUGAGGAGCGAAAGCGUGGGGAGCGAACAGG